AAAGCUCUCUAAAUUUUUCUCUAUUUUAACUAAAUAUUAUUUUUUAUUAGUUUUUACAACAACUACUUUAACUGUCGUCAACAUUAAAAUCACACAAACCCAUCUCAGAUUCAGCCCAGGAAAGCACCAAAAACCCUAAAACUCAAACAGGGAUUUAUAUGAGAUUGCAAACACUAGGCUACUGACAGCCGAAAAACAGGGGAAAAAUUCAUACAGAAACAUCAAAAAAUCCUACCCAAAGCCCAUUCGGUUUUCUUCUCAAAUAACCCCAAAAUUUUUAUUUACCUGAAAACCUCAAGAACCUAGAAAAAUUUUCCAUUCUUCUACGGCUUCUCUCAGAGAAUUUCUACCCAAAAAUUCAGUACCCAUCAACCGGAAAUCAAAACCUGAGAAUCUACUUACCCAAAAAUUGAAUCCCCACUGUUUGGGCUUCGGGAAAACGCCGGAAAAAAUCCUAUCUUCAGCAUCGCCGAGGCCGUCCGUGACCCUCCAACGUCAACUUCCUCCCCAGCAGCGGCCGACCCACCAGAAACUUCUCCUUCUCCCUCUCCCGAUCUCUCAAUCUCCUUAUACGGUCCAGAUUUUGAUGACCCACCCAAAAGUGAAGACGAAAGGUGCCAGAGAGAUGGAAGUGAAGACGGAAGGCGCGAAUGGAAAAAAAAAUUGUUAAAAAAUUCAAUAGAGAGUAGAAUUCGUGAGCCAGAUUUGUAGUGAAAAUCUGACAAGAGAGGAAUUAGAGCACUUGUAGUGAACUCACCAAAGAGACGAAAUCACCAAAAUCAGACGACUUUCAUCAAAAUUGUGUCUGCAACGAACUCGUCUCUGCUAUAGGAAAUUUGGUGAGUGCCGAAAUGGCUCGUCUGUUCUGCUGAGCCAACUUCCUCUCGUCUCUUCUUAUUUUCCAUUUGUUUAUUACCCUUCCCGCGUUCUCGAUCUCCUGAAGCGAAAAUUGGAGCUCCUUUGCGCCUUUUCUCACAAAUCACCUCUGCAAGCUUUUGAAUCCCAGCCCAUUACAAAUUGAAUGUUCGUAUCAACUAGUGCACAUCAACUUUUAUAGCAAAGCUGCUUCUUGGCAAUGUGCUUAAGGAAGGCACCCACAUAUCUGUUAAUCCUCUUGUAAUAUGGGCAUGGGCUGGACUCCUUAUUAAUGCCAUCAACAGUAUCCCUGCUGGACAGCUUGAUGGAGGGAGAAUUUGUUUUGCCAUAUGGGGAAGAAAGAGAUCAAAUCGUGAUAGGCACAGCUUCAUGGCGCUGGACCUUUCCUUUAUGCAUCGUGAUAGAUAUGGCUUGCUGCAGCUGGAAGUUUCCUUUUCUGCAUAAGGGCAGCAGCUACACAUUCGUUGAUCUGCAAUCGUGGAGUCUGAUUUGAAUGUCGCGCCAUGCGCUCUGCAGCUGGACUUUUCCUUUCCUGUUUGUAAGUCAGCUAGACAGAUUGCAUAUUUGUUGGGAUGCUGCUGGAUUACCAUAUUGGCUUGCACACACGUGGCUCUCUCUUGGCUUGGACUCUACUCCACUAACACGUUGAGUUCUUGUGGCAGCAUCUCCUGCCUUGGCUUGUGUCUUAGCAAUGCUGAGGUGUCCAAGGGCAGGAACUUCAACAUACCAUACCCAUUCCCCUUUACAGAUGAAGCAAUUACAAGUUUCUAGAAACACUUUCCGCAUACAUUCUAAAGCCUAAACCAUCUGAUAGAAUUGAAAAGCCAUUUUGGUAGGACCUGUCUUAGAAAAUUACUCAAAUGUAUUGGUUUCACAUUAAUAAUAUUUUAGAAAAGUAUCUGUUAAUGCUUUUUGGAAGAUGCUUUUUUCAGAGAUUGAAAUUGAAUGUUCGUAUCAA